rnacentral:rRNA from 1 species
AGCGAACGCUGGCGGCAGGCCUAACACAUGCAAGUCGAGCGCCCGUAGCAAUACGGGAGCGGCAGACGGGUGAGUAACACGUGGGAACGUACCCUUCGGUUCGGAAUAACCCAGGGAAACUUGGAUUAAUACCGGAUACGUCCGUAAGGAGAAAGAUUUAUCGCCGAAGGAUCGGCCCGCGUCCGAUUAGCUUGUUGGUGGGGUAAUGGCCCACCAAGGCUACGAUCGGUAGCUGGUCUGAGAGGAUGAUCAGCCACACUGGGACUGAGACACGGCCCAGACUCCUACGGGAGGCAGCAGUGGGGAAUAUUGGACAAUGGGCGCAAGCCUGAUCCAGCCAUGCCGCGUGAGUGAUGAAGGCCCUAGGGUUGUAAAGCUCUUUCGGCGGGGAAGAUAAUGACGGUACCCGCAGAAGAAGCCCCGGCUAACUUCGUGCCAGCCGCCGCGGUAAAAC